rnacentral:tRNA from 1 species
UGCCGAGUGGACGACUUUGGAAAGUCGCUAUCGCUCUGAACGAUGGAGAUGUUGGUUCAAAUCCAACCUCGGCAACCA